rnacentral:rRNA from 1 species
CGGGACGGGUGAGUAAUGCUUGGGAAUCUAGCUUAUGGAGGGGGAUAACUACGGGAAACUGUAGCUAAUACCGCGUAAUAUCGAAAGAUUAAAGUGUGGGACCCUCGGGCCACAUGCCAUAGGAUGAGCCCAAGUGGGAUUAGGUAGUUGGUGAGGUAAAGGCUCACCAAGCCGACGAUCUCUAGCUGGUCUGAGAGGAUGACCAGCCACACUGGGACUGAGACACGGCCCAG